rnacentral:rRNA from 1 species
UAUGGUAAUGUGGCAGCAGCCGCGGUCAUACGUAGGGGGCAAGCGUUCUCCGGAUUUACUGGGUGUAAAGGGAGCGUAGACGGAUUAGCAAGUCUGAUGUGAAAGGCAGGGGCUCAACCCCUGGACUGCAUUGGAAACUGCCAGUCUUGAGUGCCGGAGAGGUAAGCGGAAUUCCUAGUGUAGCGGUGAAAUGCGUAGAUAUUAGGAGGAACACCAGUGGCGAAGGCGGCUUACUGGACGGCAACUGACGUUGAGGCUCGAAAGCGUGGGGAGCAAACAGG